UCGUCCACUGUUCCCAACCAACACUGAGCGCCGCUCAGCACCAUCUCAGGCAUAUACACGAGAAACAGCAGUAGAGCGUGUAAUGUGACAAGGCAACAUUCCGCUUUAUUGCAAACCGUCAUCCGCCGUACACUCAACUAACAUUUUCAAACGGGGUGCAGGAAUUUAAACGCUACACUCAGUGGGAAAAGCUCACCGUUGUUCCCAACCAACACUUAUUAACCAGGUAUUCAUUGCCCUUCUGUGGUCCGGGAAUAAUAUGGGGACAUUUCUGUAAAAUUCCCUUCGAGUUUUGAAUUCCUCUCUAACGGCUCGAAUCGGACUACAAGCAUAUGCUGAAUAACUGGAUUUUUUUGGGGGGUGAAACAAUAGACAACCGCUGCUGUCUGGACAUUCAGUUUUACUCUUGGAUUAUUGUUUCAACAUCAUGAGCACGAGCGUAGUACCCUAUCAACAAAGCUCGAGCAGCAGUGAACGAAGCUCUAGACCAAUCCACUGCUAUCGUUGCCGGGAGGUUUGCAAAGGGGAGGUGGUACGAGUGCAAAGUGUCCACUUCCACAUCAAAUGUUUCACCUGCCAAGUUUGUGGCUGUGACUUGGCACGCUCUGGAUUCUUCCAGAAGAGUGGUGAAUACAUCUGUACAACAGACUACCAGCGGCUGUAUGGCACAAAAUGUGAUAGCUGUGGGGACUUUAUCUCAGGGGAGGUGGUCUCCGCUCUGGGACGCACGUAUCAUCCACAGUGUUUUGUCUGCAGCGUGUGCAGAAAACCUUUUCCAAUCGGUGACAGAGUGACGUUCAGAGGCAAAGAAUGUGUCUGUCAGCAGUGCUCCCUCAAGCUGGUUAAUUCCAAUGAGCCAAUAAAAAUCCAGGGGCCCAGUCACUGUGCAGGAUGUAAGGAGGAGAUCAAACAGGGUCAGUCACUGCUGGCGUUGGAGAAACAGUGGCACGUCAGCUGCUUCAGGUGUCAGACCUGUGGCCUGGUCCUGACAGGCGAGUACAUCAGCAAAGAUGGCAUUCCUUACUGCGAGUCAGACUACCACUCCCAGUUUGGGAUAAAGUGUGAAGCUUGUGACAUAUACAUCAGUGGACGAGUGCUGGAGGCCGGAGGAAAGCACUAUCACCCAACAUGUGCUCGUUGUUCCCGGUGUCAGAUGAUGUUUACAGAGGGAGAGGAGAUGUACCUCACAGGUUCAGAGGUGUGGCAUCCUGUGUGUAAACAAGUGGCACGCGCAGAGAGGAAACUAAGACUCAGGCGCACAUCAGAAACCUCAAUCUCUCCACCAGGCUCCAGCAUAAGUUCACCCAGCAGGGUCAUAUGUUCCUUAGGCACACUCUCCCCUUACUCUCAGGACAUGUAUGACAGUAUGGAUAUGAGGAUGAGACGAUCCUCCAGUCCAGGGUACAUAGACUCUCCCACCUACAGCAGGCAGGGCAUGUCUCCCAUCAUGCCACGCUCUCCACAACACUACUACAGAUAUGGCACUGAGAGUGGCAGAAGUUCACCCUAUUGCAAUCAGCUAGAUGCCCGGUCCAGCACACCCACCACAAACCAAGCUCCCAAGCAUUUUCAUGUGCCAGCCUCAGGAGAGCCCAACAUCUACAGGAAGCCUCCCAUCUAUAAGAGACAUGCUACUAAGAGCAAGACCAGUGAGGACAUUGUCCAGUCCUCCAAGUUCCUAACAGCCUACCCGCCUGAACACUACCAGCACUCAGAGCCUGAUUACUACGAUUAUACCAGCUCUCCUAAAUCUUUACGUGCCCCACGGAGAAGAUACUCAUCAGGAGGAGAAGAGGAUGGUUGGAGUCACGGUCUUCACAGAAUUCAGGGUGGGAUCGGCAGGAUGAUCCUGAAGGAAGAGAUGAAAGCCCGCUCUGGUUCCUAUGACAACGACCCCUGGGGUAGUGCGCGAAACUCCCGCAGUGGGAGCAGGGAGAUGUUGCACAGCAUGGGCCACAACAACACAAUUAACGGCUCUCCUCGGACAAACAUUACCGCUGAAAAUGACUACAUUUCCAAAUCAGCAUCUUUACCAGGAUAUGGCAGGAAUGGAUUGCAUAGGCCACAAAGUGCCGACUACUUUCAGUAUGACAGUAGCAGUGAAGUCAACUGGGGAAUCAGAGCAGAGUACAAGGUAAGGGAGAUGGUUCAAAUUUACCAGAGCAUUAAAGAGGGUCUGGAGAGACAAUAAAGCAUCCCGGUUCAGAGACACUCUUGAAACAUUAGCCUACUGCUGACUCCAGAGGAAAACUCAGAUUUACAGUAUGUCAGUCUAAUGAACCCUGAUAGGUCAAAACAACGUCCUGCUGGUCAAAGCAUGUGGAAACUAGAGUCUGGAGAAAUCAGUGCUUCCAGGUCAGAAGGCCACUGUGUAAUUCCCCAGCUGGCCCUUAGUUGGUCGGGGACGACAGGAUAGCCAGAGGCCAUGGAGUGGUCAGGUGUUUGUUUGACCUCUGUGCUCUUGGUUGGGUGAGAACUAUAUUGUUCUGUAUGGUGCCGCUUCCUGUCUGUGUUACAGCUACUGUGCCAGAUGCUCUGAACCUAAAAAAAAAGGGAUUUCCUUUCGUUUCCAUAAGUGAGAGGAAAAGGUGUUCCACCAAUGCACAGACGGCUCUGAGAACAAUGCUUAGAUUUCCAUUAGUGAUCAGUGAAAAAGCCUGUUAUUAUUGUCAAAUAAGCAAGACAAACAGAAAUAAUAUUAAUAUGUUAAAAAUGAAGUAAACAUGUUUAAGCUAAUACAUUGUAAUGUUUAAAAUGAGAUGCAUUGCUUCUCUUUCACCACAGAUUUACCCAUAUGAAGCACUUAUUGUGACCACUAGAGGGCGAAACAAAUUGCCAAGGGAUGUAGACAGGGCCAGAUUGGAGCGACAUCUUUCCCCUGAAGAGUUUUAUCAAGUGUUUGGGAUGACAAUGACAGAGUUUGACCGGCUGGCACUGUGGAAGAGGAAUGAGAUGAAGAAACAAGCCAGGCUGUUCUAGUGUGCCUGCCCCACACACCCAGAGACCUGAAUACCUGUUUCAGUCUAACUAAACAAACAAAUCCUGUGUCUCAGGCCUAUAGUAAUGCCUGGACUGUACCGAGAAAUUGUGCAACUCUCCUGUUUGAUGGGGCAUAUAAAUAAUUAGACAGGCUAGAAUACCUGAAAAAGAAAGACAGAAAACAAAAUACCAUGUUGGGAUCAUUUACUUGAGUAAAGUGGUUCUUUGACACAUUUUUAUUUAGUUUCUGAAUGACAAAGAUAAAAAAUAACAAAAAAUAAUAAUAAAUCAGGAAUUGGAAGGAUUUUAAAUAAUGCCUUAUGUUCUCAGUUCAUUUAUGCACCGGCAAAGUGAGUGAUCAGAAUGUAGAUACAAUUAUAUAGUUACUAUUAUGUGAGUGGAUGGAUAGUCUGAUAUUAUCCAUCUUAAACUCAAAAAUUAAACAAGCAUAUUAUUUUGAAAUAUUUAAUUUUAUUUUUUCAGUUCUUUUAUUUCACUGUUCUAUAAGGACUACAUAAGCUUAGAAGUGGUGAAAUCAUAAAUAAGCGAUGAUUUGCUCGACAAUGAAUAACCAAAGUCUGACUGUUAUUUGUAUAGUAAGCAGAAGAAAUUGAGCACUAUUCAGUGCUGUACUUUGUUCAGGUCAUUUUCAAAGAAAUAACAAAUAUUGAAUGUAUACUUUUUACACAAAAAGACUUUAGGAUUAUUAGACUGUAAGUAUGCUGAGCCAUACAUUGGAUAUUGUGAUGGUAGAGAUAUGUACAGUAUAUGGCUUAUGUUUGAUAUAGACCAUAAAGAAGAAACCGAUACUUCAAAAGAAUCAUGGUGCAAAUUUUUUUUUUUUUUUUUUUUUUUUUGCUCUUGAAAAAGAUUCUGUUUUAGAAUAUUUAACAUCACCCCUGGUACAAUGGAGCAGAAAAAUGUGAUACAUUAAAAGAGGUUUAGUAUCUUUUUGGUUCAUGCCAAGGCAAUUCCUGUGUUGUCAAAUGAUCUGAUCUUAAGUUAUGAUGCAGAUUAAGUAAAUAUGGAUUGUCUGGACAAUGAAAGGGAUGGCAUGUUCACAAUCACGUAUUAUUUGACUGAAAUAUACAUCUGACCAAUGCAGCGAGUAACAUAAUAACCUGUAACUGUGAUUAGGACCAAACAAUAACUAUGGGGUCUUUCAUACCCAGAGAUAAUGACAUCCUCAACUGAUUACAGUAGUUUUGUACCUCACUGACAAACAGGUACAACCAUCAUGGUUUCUGCCUUUGUGUGUAGUGUUUACAACCUGUUUGCCCAAUAGAUGAAGUGUUCCAUUAAUUUCAUAGUGAAGGAAGUGAGCUAGAAUCAAAAAAUCAUAUUUUUGAUUCUCUCUUUUUUUUAAAUCAAUACUACUACCAUGCUAACAUUAUUUAUCUGUCAGUUUCAAUAGAUGAUGUACAUGUUAUAUUGAAAUAAAAGUUUUGUUUUCUUGUGUAAAACUGUAUUUUUCUCGAUU